CCCAGUGGCCUAAUGGAUAAGGCAUCAACCUCCAAAGCUGGUGGUUGUUGGUUCAAGUCCCACCUGGG
rnacentral:tRNA from 1 species